rnacentral:rRNA from 1 species
CAGUCGCCGCGGGAAUACAGAGGGUGCGAGCGUUAAUCGGAUUUACUGGGCGUAAAGCGUGCGUAGGCGGCUUCUUAAGUCGGAUGUGAAAUCCCUGAGCUUAACUUAGGAAUUGCAUUCGAUACUGGGAAGCUAGAGUAUGGGAGAGGAUGGUAGAAUUCCAGGUGUAGCGGUGAAAUGCGUAGAGAUCUGGAGGAAUACCAAUGGCGAAGGCAGCCAUCUGGCCUAAUACUGACGCUGAGGUACGAAAGCAUGGGGAGCAAACAGGAUUAGAUACCCCCGUAGUCCCUGUCUCUUAUAC